CAAGAUGAUACAGAUCUAUCUGACUGAACUGGGCUUCAAAACAAGCAGCCUGUCUUCAGAACUCUCCCCUUUAAUCAUUGUCAUAAUGAACCAGAACCAUCUGUAACAGAGAAUGGAGCAGCAAGAAUAGCUAUCUUCUGCCUCUUUUCUGGAGCCAAAAACUGAUCUGGAGAACUUCACACUCUUUCUAAGGCCAUGUUAUCUCAACCUUUUUCCCCGCUUUUAUCCCUACUCUCUGCCUAUUAAGUAGACUUUUUAGAUCUUUUCUGAUCAUUCCCUCCCCACGAAAUUUUAAUACCACAUAUAUGCCUUAUAUCUGUUUACGUAUGAUGAGGGGCCACAAAACAUUUUUAUAUUUAAGAUUUUUUUUAACCUUCCUAAUAACCAACUUUCACCUCCGUGGCGGCAACAUUGUCCCCCAUUAAGAAUGUGUGUUCUGAGGAAACCAAUAUUGAAGAUUUCUGUAAGAUCUUUUAUGUUGCCAUUGUUUAUCCAUAUGUCACAAAUACAUGGUGUGAAACAAAAAUCUCCCACAUAGACUCCCACAGGAAAUACAGUAAUGGGAGAAUUUCGGUUCUUUCUCCCUGGCUUCCGAGGUUGUGUCUCAGGAGCAACUGCUGGGGUGUUCAUGAGGGGAUGGAGAGUGAGUAACACCACAGUAAUUGCCUCAGAGCUGGAGACUCCUGUUGUCCUUAUUAUACAGAGCCAGUUUCCAAUUACAUGUGCUAAUGAGGUCCAGCAGUAAGAUGGGUAAUUGCAAUCCACAAGAACUCCCAAACCUCAUUUAGAAAGCUGUUUCAAGCAUCUCUUGAGCCUGUGAACCAGACUAGGAUAACUAUUCCUCUUCUUCUUGAACCUGUAAGAACCAGACUGGGAUGACUGUUGAUUUUCCAUUGUUUCCAGCCUCAAACAGAGAAGGAAUAACGAUCGGGCCUUGUUCACCUUGCAUGUUUUUACUCAGGGCAUUCCGUGAACCAAGCACUUUGUUGACCCCAUUCACAGAGAUGUCUAGUAUGUACCCAUAGGCUGCAUAUGUGGUACAUUCCUUCAUGGUAUCUUCAAAGCCUUAUGAAAAAACUGGAAAGACCUGGAAAAUGUUCAAUUCAAUUGAAUUCAGUGCAAUUUGAAUUGUUAAUCAAUUUAAAUGUUCAUCAUUUGAGCUUUAAAGGAUGCUGUUUGAUAAAGAGUUCAUUGACCAUGAUGCACAGAGAGGCUGUAUAAAGAGAAACAAGCCCAGCCAUACCUCACAUUCCAGCCACCCCCAUUGGAGCCCCAGACGUGUGAGUGAAGUCACCAUAGACUCUCCAGCCCAGGUGAGUCACCCUGUCCAGCACCACACAGCAGGGAUAAGCUGCCACCACCAUGCUCUGCCCAAAUUGGAGAAUUAUGGGCAAAAAUAUGGCUGUUUUAAACCACUACCUUUUGGGUUAGCUUUUUAUACAGUAAUAGAUAAACAGUUUGGUUUCAUUUCUUGGUCUCAAUAGCAGCAACUUUCGUCUCCUGUCUGGAGCAACUCCCUCUUUAUUUCACCAAUUAUCACUCCACUAUCUGUCCUUUUGCAUCCAUGGAUUUUGAAGGAAGGUCAGUGGUAUUGUGUGGAAAAGGCUUUGGCCUUUGACUGAUACCUCC
rnacentral:lncRNA from 10 species